UGAGAUUCAUUCUCUGUUCAUCUCAUCUCUGUUAAUGAAUGGAAGUCUUUUGUUUCUGUUGAUUGAAUAAUUGGAGUUUUCUUUGGACUUUUAUUGUUUUUGCAUAGGCUGCUUGUGGAUUGAACAUUAAAUAACCAAAGGAGAAGAUUGAAGAUAUUGAUGCUGGAGAUGUGAGCAAUGAGUUGGCAGUUGUGGAGUGUGCAGAAAACAUUUACAAGUUUGGCUACAAGGAAGCUGAGUGCAAUGGAGUACAA